AUUGAACGCUGGCGGCAGGCCUAAUACAUGCAAGUCGAGCGAGCGGCGGACGGGUGAGUAAUGCCUAGGAAUCUGCCUGGUCGUGGGGGAUAACUACACGAAAGAGAGGCGAAUACCGCAUACUAUUGGAGCGGCCGAUUACGGAGUAGCUAGUUGGAGGUGGAAAGGCUCACCAAGGCAACGAUCCGAAGCAGGUUUGAGAGGACGACCAGCCACACUGGAACUGAGACACGGCCCAGACUCCUACGGGAGACAGCAGUGGGGAAUUUUGGACAAUGGGGGAAAGCCUGAUCCAGCCAUCCCGCGUGUAUGAGAAGGCCUUCGGGUUGUAAAGUACUUUUGGCAGGGAAGCGGUAUCUGCAGAGUAAGCACCGGCUAACUACGUGCCAGCAGCCGCGGUAAUUC
rnacentral:rRNA from 1 species